rnacentral:rRNA from 1 species
UACGUAGGGAGCGAGCGUUGUCCGGAAUUACUGGGUGUAAAGGGAGCGUAGGCGGGAUCGCAAGUCAGAUGUGAAAACUAUGGGCUUAACCCAUAGACUGCAUUUGAAACUGCGGUUCUUGAGUGAAGUAGAGGUAAGCGGAAUUCCUAGUGUAGCGGUGAAAUGCGUAGAUAUUAGGAGGAACAUCGGUGGCGAAGGCGGCUUACUGGGCUUUUACUGACGCUGAGGCUCGAAAGCGUGGGGAGCAA